rnacentral:rRNA from 1 species
CAGCAGCCGCGGGAAAACGAAGGGUGCAAGCGUUACUCGGAAUUACUGGGCGUAAAGCGUGCGUAGGUGGUGGUUUAAGUCCGUUGUGAAAGCCCUGGGCUCAACCUGGGAAUUGCAGUGGAUACUGGGUCACUAGAGUGUGGUAGAGGAUAGUGGAAUUUCCGGUGUAGCAGUGAAAUGCGUAGAGAUCGGAAGGAACAUCUGUGGCGAAGGCGACUAUCUGGGCCAACACUGACACUGAGGCACGAAAGCGUGGGGAGCAAACAGGAUUAGAUACCCGUGUAGUCCCUGUCUCUUAUAC